rnacentral:rRNA from 1 species
AGCGAAUAGAUACCCGGGUAGUCCUGGCCCUAAACGAUGAAUGCUUGGUGUGGCGGGUAUCGAUCCCUGCCGUGCCGAAAGCUAACGCAUUAAGCAUUCCGCCUGGGGAGUACGGUCGCAAGGCUGAAACUCAAAGGAAAUUGACGGGGGCCCGGCCACAAGACGGUGGUAGGCAUGUGGUUUAAGUUUACGUACGCAACGCGAAGAAACCUUACCCUACGGCGUUGUAACGUAGCAGAUGACACCCCUACCGAAACGUAAGGCUUCCGUCAAGGACAUCUGUAGAGGUGCUGCAUGGCGUGUCGUCAGCUCGUGUCGUGAGAUG